UCGAGGCAGGCACCGGAACCACUAAGCUAAAUUCCCAGCCCUGUUACUCUGUUCUCAUCUGUGGUUUAACAUGAUCUCAAGACUAAAUGUGAUAGAAGUUUCCUCUUGAAGGGCUCAAGACUAAACCAUUCUACCAAAUGCUGCUGCUGCAUGAUUCCCAGACCUGACCCUGUAUAAAUCCCUGCCCAGGAGCCUCCCUGAGUCCUUGAAGGAUCUGCCACCGUGAGACUUCCGGCUCUUCCCUAAAUCGAAUGACAACAAAAGGUAAUGUUUUGAAUCGAUUCAGGACAUAAAAGCAGUCAUGACAGCACAACUAAAGAUACUCGUGAAAGAAGACCUCCAGAGCUGCUCCAGAAAGUGGCAAGAAAGAUGCAUGCGUGUGCUGGAAGGGAGGGCGAGGGUUUUGAGGGGCAUUCAUGCUCAUGUGUUUUUCACUGUAACACAUUUUUCUAACUGAAACACUCGCCAUAGUUUCUGACCACACUUCCCACUUACUGUUC